UAUUCUGCCCUACGGGGAAGGAUGAGAAGCUUCGACUAAGGUUCGACUCGAGCGUAGCGAGAGAACGUUGCCGAAGGCAACGGCCCGAAGGGCGAGGCGCUUUAGCGCCGAGUCAUCCUUCCCCCACCACCA
rnacentral:sRNA from 3 species